rnacentral:rRNA from 1 species
CCUAACACAUGCAAGUCGAACGGUAACAGGAAUAAGCUUGCUUCUUUGCUGACGAGUGGCGGACGGGUGAGUAAUGUCUGGGAAACUGCCUGAUGGAGGGGGAUAACUACUGGAAACGGUAGCUAAUACCGCAUAACGUCGCAAGACCAAAGAGGGGGACCUUCGGGCCUCUUGCCAUCGGAUGUGCCCAGAUGGGAUUAGCUAGUAGGUGGGGUAAAGGCUCACCUAGGCGACGAUCCCUAGCUGGUCUGAGAGGAUGACCAGCCACACUGGAACUGAGACACGGUCCAGACUCCUACGGGAGGCAGCAGUGGGGAAUAUUGCACAAUGGGCGCAAGCCUGAUGCAGCCAUGCCGCGUGUAUGAAGAAGGCCUUCGGGUUGUAAAGUACUUUCAGCGGGGAGGAAGGGAGUAAAGUUAAUACCUUUGCUCAUUGACGUUACCCGCAGAAGAAGCACCGGCUAACUCCGUGCCAGCAGCCGCGGUAAUACGGAGGGUGCAAGCGUUAAUCGGAAUUACUGGGCGUAAAGCGCACGCAGGCGGUUUGUUAAGUCAGAUGUGAAAUCCCCGGGCUCAACCUGGGAACUGCAUCUGAUACUGGCAAGCUUGAGUCUCGUAGAGGGGGGUAGAAUUCCAGGUGUAGCGGUGAAAUGCGUAGAGAUCUGGAGGAAUACCGGUGGCGAAGGCGGCCCCCUGGACGAAGACUGACGCUCAGGUGCGAAAGCGUGGGGAGCAAACAGGAUUAGAUACCCCUGGUAGUCCACGCCGUAAACGAUGUCGACUUGGAGGUUGUGCCCUUGAGGCGUGGCUUCCGGAGCUAACGCGUUAAGUCGACCGCCUGGGGAGUACGGCCGCAAGGUUAAAACUCAAAUGAAUUGACGGGGGCCCGCACAAGCGGUGGAGCAUGUGGUUUAAUUCGAUGCAACGCGAAGAACCUUACCUGGUCUUGACAUCCACAGAACUUUCCAGAGAUGGAUUGGUGCCUUCGGGAACUGUGAGACAGGUGCUGCAUGGCUGUCGUCAGCUCGUGUUGUGAAAUGUUGGGUUAAGUCCCGCAACGAGCGCAACCCUUAUCCUUUGUUGCCAGCGGUCCGGCCGGGAACUCAAAGGAGACUGCCAGUGAUAAACUGGAGGAAGGUGGGGAUGACGUCAAGUCAUCAUGGCCCUUACGACCAGGGCUACACACGUGCUACAAUGGCGCAUACAAAGAGAAGCGACCUCGCGAGAGCAAGCGGACCUCAUAAAGUGCGUCGUAGUCCGGAUUGGAGUCUGCAACUCGACUCCAUGAAGUCGGAAUCGCUAGUAAUCGUGGAUCAGAAUGCCACGGUGAAUACGUUCCCGGGCCUUGUACACACCGCCCGUCACACCAUGGGAGUGGGUUGCAAAAGAAGUAGGUAGCUUAACCUUCGGGAGGGCGCUUACCACUUUGUGAUUCACGACUGGGGUGAAGUC